CCUGAAACUGUCAAAACGCUGUCUGCAAAAAUUUUGUCAUCAUCUCGUAGUUGCUCGAAAUCGUGAACAAUUUUUUCCUUAUCGGUCGGUUUUUCUCUAGAUUUAACAGUGUCAGUCACUAGACAAAAUAUAAUCCCUGCUGUGGGCAUAAGAUUAGGUAACUUCGGUAUACCAGGCCAACAGCGAAAGCGCUGAUGUUUGCGAGUGAAAAAAGCGGAGAAACACAAGUGAAAUCUCUUGCUUUCGGGCAAGGCUGUUAGCGAAAUCUACUGAUAAGGAACUGCCGGGAUUUAACGGAAUUGUUCGAACAAGGCCCGAGUAGUGCAGGGGAAUGACGUUGGAUGCCAGCGUUUUACCAUUAGAGCUGGUAACCACCGCUCAGCCACUAGUUUGGUUAUCCGGCUUGAAUAUGCAGCGGAACACUAUCCACAAACCGAUAUGGGAUGCGUUCAACAACAGCAAAAAGCCAGAAAGCGAAUCUAUAGAAUAUAAGCUUCUUCCACCCAGCCAUGAAUUUCCUGUAUCAACCAAAACACCAAUCCUACGAACGGUAUCACUCGAAAGGUAUUUUGAAACGAAACUAGAUGCUGAAACCGCAGAAACAUAUUUCGCCGGCAAAGACGAAAUACACGGCUAGCGGUAGUUUUAAUUCAGAAAGGUGCUAGCAUACCUCAAGGAGAUGAUUUUCUUGCUUCCGAGAGGGCAUCCUACUUGACCAGCACCUGUUACAUUACCGCAAAAAUGCUCUUCGUGCUUCCUCACAACGAUAAUUGGAUGAAUCACAUACUAAGACCACCCUUCUGGAACUUGCACAGUCUUACUAUAACCGAAUGAUGAAGCAAAUUCGGUCGCAUCGGGAACAGCUUACCGAAUUCCACCAAAAGGUUAAGAUUCGACACCAAUUUAAACUUAGGUCUAUUUCCGAGCUUAAAUUGGACCAAUUGAACGAAGUUCGAAUCGUAGACACCACUGCCUCGAAGUCAAAACCAUAGCUGGUUUCGUGAGCUACAAAAUUUGUCGCCUAUUUUUCAAACUCAACGCACCAAAGGAUUCAAUAUCGCACUUCAAGAACCACAUCGUCAAAUAUCGCAACCGAACCGUUCCAAGGAGCUGCUCUUCGAGCACUACGCCUGGCUGAGUGUGCAGUACAGUGCCUUCGUAAAAUUAUUGUCGAUGGUAGACAAAAGACGUUGAGACUACUGCAGCUGCUGGGACUAUUGCGACUGUUGCUGGAACUGGUACUGACGAUGAAUUGUUGCCUCUAAGCAGCUCCGUGGAAACUCUUGGAACAACAUUACAGCAUGGUUCAACAAUCAACUGGAAAGUUCAGAAAGCUCCAAAGGGAUUGGUGGAUUUGCCUCUGCGGGAAUGCCAAGAUACGAACGAUUCAGCGAUUGCGACAUCGAUCGGGCAAACAAGCCAACACAAUUGAAAAGCUGCGUACAUACACAUGUCUUGUGGUUAACAGGAAAUGAUUCCAAUAAAUAAACAAAAAGAAUAAAUCUUAAUUUAAUUCAAUUUAAUCUGUUUACGGCAUUUUAGAUGUUAAAAUGAUCAAAAUAAACAAAAAGAGUAAAAACUCAA